UGGGGAAUAAUCCUUGAUUAAGCAAUACCACCUAGGGAUAGGGGAGUAGGACAAUCGAUUGUUUUCGCUUCUGUUUAUAAUGCAUUAUUAAUUACUAGGGGAGGCUAGGGAUAGCAAGCCAGUAAUUAUUAAUAGGCUCUUUUCGCCAAGGGAUCGGGUUAAGGGUAGACUAAGAAAGUUUGCAUGGUAAUUGGAUAAUCAAGCGAAUUAAAUAAGAGGAGUAUAUUAGAGAGCGGAUAAAGGUGAAAUUGUAAACCCCAACAACUCCAUUCAUCCAUAGUUUCUCUCUCGUUAAUUGAAUCAACUCAUUGCAUGUUUAUUUUUGUUUUUGCAUACACAACCAUUAAUUUUUCUUUCUACAAGUCUUACGAUUUCUGUUCACACG
rnacentral:lncRNA from 1 species